rnacentral:rRNA from 1 species
AGAUGGACCCGCGGCGCAUUAGCUAGUUGGUGAGGUAAUGGCUCACCAAGGCAACGAUGCGUACCCGACCUGAGAGGGUGAUCGGCCACACUGGGACUGAGACACGGCCCAGACUCCUACGGGAGGCAGCAGUAGGGAAUCUUCCGCAAUGGACGAAAGUCUGACGGAGCAACGCCGCGUGAGUGAUGAAGGUUUUCGGAUCGUAAAGCUCUGUUGUUAGGGAAGAACAAGUACCGUUCGAAUAGGGCGGUACCUUGACGGUACCUAACCAGAAAGCCACGGCUAACUACGUGCCAGCAGCCGCGGUAAUACGUAGGUGGCAAGCGUUGUCCGGAAUUAUUGGGCGUAAAGGGCUCGCAGGCGGUUUCUUAAGUCUGAUGUGAAAGCCCCCGGCUCAACCGGGGAGGGUCAUUGGAAACUGGGGAACUUGAGUGCAGAAGAGGAGAGUGGAAUUCCACGUGUAGCGGUGAAAUGCGUAGAGAUGUGGAGGAACACCAGUGGCGAAGGCGACUCUCUGGUCUGUAACUGACGCUGAGGAGCGAAAGCGUGGGGAGCGAACAGGAUUAGAUACCCUGGUAGUCCACGCCGUAAACGAUGAGU